GGGGACGAUCGGUUUCGACGGAAAGCUCUUUACAAUACUGCAAGCCGAGUUUGAUUAGUACUCGUUAAACAAGAAUCAAAAAACAAAAGCUAACUUAUUCAAUAAGCCAGCUUCAGCUAACUACGCAGUCGCGUACGCUUAACUGACGUCCUUAGAUUCGAUUCUCGGUUGAAUCAAAAGGGUGUAAACCAAUCCGGGAUGCUAUGUCAACUUUAUGAUUUAAAGGUUGCCAUCUAAGCCAAAUAAAUCUUACUUCGGGCUGCCUGUGAAUUGGCUUAAACCUGAAGGAAAUCACAAAAAUUCAAUAAGCUUGUAGAAGUUUUGCAGGAAGCGUUUUCGGACGCGGGUUCGAUUCCCGCCGUCUCCACCA
rnacentral:tmRNA from 2 species